AGAAGGGCUGCCAUAAGGGUAUGCCUGCAUACCUCCUUAAGCUUUGUUGAAGCCAGUUUAGGAGAACAGAGAGGCCCCGUCCUAUUUUAAAUGGGUACCCUUGAUAAUUCCUUAGCUUAGUCUCAUGUCUGUUUCCAUAGAGUGCUGAUCCAAUUUGGCUCAGGCACCUUGCUCCAGGUCUCAUCAGCCUUGCUCCCCGCGAUUAUUUAUUCCCUCCUCUCAUGAAAGUGGUCCCGGAAAUGAAUAAGGUGUUUGGACAGCAAUGAAAACAAUACUCUUCUGCAGGUGUACCAUGAGAGAAUGGUCUCCGUGGAAUUCAAUGCUGGCUCAAGGUCACAGAGCCAGGAAAUGGCUGAGCUAAGAAGACUUCAACUCAGGUCCUGGGUUAUGUGGUUGAGCAGCUUUUAAUGUUUCUCAGAAGCUUAAUAGGUUACCUUUCCCAAGGGUGUUUGUAUUUUAAAAGGGAAUUAAAAAGAGAGGA
ensembl:lncRNA